GACGAACCGUGCGAACGUUGUUCGGAAUCACUGGGCUCAAAGGGCGCGUAGGCGGCUCGCGAGGUCGGGGGUGAAAUCCCGCAGCUUAACUGCGGAAGAGCCUUCGAUACCGGCGGGCUAGAGGAAGGUAGGGGUGCGCGGAACUUCUGGUGGAGCGGUGAAAUGCGUUGAUAUCAGAAGGAACGCCGGCGGCGAAAGCGGCGCACUGGACCUUUUCUGACGCUGAGGCGCGAAAGCCAGGGGAGCAAACGGG
rnacentral:rRNA from 1 species